rnacentral:rRNA from 1 species
AGAGUUUGAUCAUGGCUCAGGACGAACGCUGGCGGCGUGGAUUAGGCAUGCAAGUUGAGCGACGGACAAGGGCUUGCCCUUGUUACGGAGCAGCGAACGGGUGAGUAACACGUGAACAAUCUGUCCCUACAUUCCGGAUAAUUGGGAGAAAUCCCUUGUAAUACGGGCGAGGAUCACUAAGAGGCAUCUCUUGGUGCGGGAACGAGCAAUCGGUGCAGGGAGGAGUUCGCGGUCUAUCAGUUAGUUGGUGGGGUAACGGCCUACCAAGACGACGACGGAUAGCUGGUCUGAGAGGAUGGUCAGCCACAUUGGAACUGAGAUACUGUCCAGACUCCUACGGGAGGCUGCAGUCGAGAAUCUUGGGCAAUGCACGAAAGUGUGACCCAGCGACGCCGCGUGAAGGAUGAAGGUCCUCUGGAUCGUAAACUUCUUUUAUGGGGAAAGAAAAGCUCGCAAGAGCCUUGACGGUACCCCAUGAAUAAGCCACGGCUAACUACGUGCCAGCAGCCGCGGUAAUACGUAGGUGGCAAGCGUUGUCCGGAUUUACUGGGCGUAAAGCGAACGCAGGCGGAUUGUUAAGUCCAAAGUGAAAGGUAGGAGCUCAACUCCUACACUGCUUGGGAUACUGGCAGUCUUGAGUAGCGGAGAGGGAGAUGGAACGACACGUGUAGCGGUGAAAUGCGUUGAUAUGUGUCGGAACACCAAUGGCGAAAGCAAUCUCCUGGACGCAAACUGACGCUGAGGUUCGAAAGCCAAGGUAGCAAACAGGAUUAGAUACCCUAGUAGUCC